rnacentral:rRNA from 1 species
GUAGUCUCGUACAGAUGCAUAUCAAUAAGCGGAGGAAAAGAAACUAACAAGGAUUCCCCUAGUAACGGCGAGUGAAGCGGGAAGAGCUCAAAUUUGAAAUCUUAAAGGGUUUCCCUUUACGAAUUGUAGUUUAAAGAAGUGUUUUCUGUUGAGGUUUUGGUAAAAGUUCUUUGGAAUAGGACAUCAUAGAGGGUGAGAAUCCCGUAUUUGACCUUUACUUUCAACUUUGUGAUACACUUUCAAAGAGUCGGAUUGUUUGGGAAUGCAGUCCAAAAUGGGUGGUAAAUUUCAUCUAAAGCUAAAUAUUGGCGAGAGACCGAUAGCGAACAAGUACCGUGAGGGAAAGAUGAAAAGAACUUUGAAAAGAGAGUUAAACAGUACGUGAAAUUGUCAAAAGGGAAGCGUUUGACACCAGUGUUGUUUUUCUGAAAAUCAAUUAAAGAACUGUUUAUGCUAAGCUGUUUAGACUUUAUCAGCUAACUGUUUAGUUUUGAGCUUUUCUUUAAUGCACUUUUCAGUUAACAAGUCAACAUCAAUUUCUUUUGCUGUAAAAAAGCUUGAGGAAGGUGGCUUGAGAUUCGUCUUAAGUGUUUAUAGCCUCUUGCCUAUGCAGUCGGAGAGAUUGAGGUCUGCAGCGUAGAUCCUUCGGGGCUAAAUGCAUUUGUGCUAAGUUAUAGCAUUUUAUAGACAACUUGUUGACUAUGAUUUGUCUUGUAGCUUACUCGCUUAUGUUAUUUUACCUACGCUUAGGAUGUUGAGUAGCGACAUACGCAC